GUGGGUAUAGUUCAGUGGCAGAGUGCAGGCUUAGCAUGCAUGAGGUCCUGGGUUCAAUCCCCAGUACCUCCA
rfam:Camelus ferus unplaced genomic scaffold scaffold1533, whole genome shotgun sequence.